UUUGUGCGGCCGACUAUUGGCGCCGUGUCUUGCCAUUUGUGUGAGCUAUCUUACUUUGCCUUUCAAGUGCUUGCGUGAUGUUACCUGACCUAUGGGUAUUGGUGCUUCAUACAUAGUUGCCUCGUGGUGGACGCCUUUGGGUGUGCUGCUGCGGCCAUAUGGCGAUUGUGGCGUUGCCUCGUGGUGCUGGUUCUCGUGCCCGGUGCUAUCAAGGCAGCCUUGCUCUCGCUAAUGGUUUUGGAUGUCGCUCAUGAUAUAUAUCCUCGUGGCCCAUUUGGUUGCCUCGGGGCUUGACCCUAAGAACGCUCUCCGACUUUGAGAACAUCGUUGAACGAAUGUUGCCUCUACCUUUCCACAACAAGUGGAAGGAUUACGCAGCAGACUCGAGUCCGAUCCCCAAAUAAGUCGGACGAGCAAGACCCUAAGAAUGCUCUCCGACUUUGAGAACAUCGUUGAACGAAUGUUGCCUCUACCUUUCCACAGCAAGUGGCAAGGAUUACGCAGCAUACUCGAUUCCGAUCCCCAAAUAAGACGGACGAGCUCGGCCCGCUCAACAGCGACAACCGGCCCGA
rnacentral:misc_RNA from 1 species